AGAGUUUGAUCAUGGCUCAGGACGAACGCUGGCGGCGUGCUUAACACAUGCAAGUCGCACGGGGUAGCAAUACCCAGUGGCGAACGGGUGCGUAACACGUGAAGAAUUUGUCCAACGGCGGGGGAUAGCCGGCCCAACGGCCGGGUAAUACCGCGUACGACCUUCGGGGGGCAUCCCCUGGAGGUGAAAGCCGUAAGGCGCCGAUGGAGAACUUCGCGGCCUAUCAGCUAGUUGGUGAGGUCAUGGCUCACCAAGGCGACGACGGGUAGCUGGUCCGAGAGGAUGACCAGCCACAUUGGGACUGAGACACGGCCCAGACUCCUACGGGAGGCAGCAGUGGGGAAUAUUGCGCAAUGGGCGAAAGCCUGACGCAGCGACGCCGCGUGUGGGAUGACGGCCUUCGGGUUGUAAACCACUGUCGGGAGGGACGAAAUCAAUGACGGUACCUCCAAAGAAG
rnacentral:rRNA from 1 species